rnacentral:rRNA from 1 species
GUCGAGCGGAACGAGUUAUCUGAACCUUCGGGGAACGAUAACGGCGUCGAGCGGCGGACGGGUGAGUAAUGCCUAGGAAAUUGCCCUGAUGUGGGGGAUAACCAUUGGAAACGAUGGCUAAUACCGCAUGAUGCCUACGGGCCAAAGAGGGGGACCUUCGGGCCUCUCGCGUCAGGAUAUGCCUAGGUGGGAUUAGCUAGUUGGUGAGGUAAGGGCUCACCAAGGCGACGAUCCCUAGCUGGUCUGAGAGGAUGAUCAGCCACACUGGAACUGAGACACGGUCCAGACUCCUACGGGAGGCAGCAGUGGGGAAUAUUGCACAAUGGGCGCAAGCCUGAUGCAGCCAUGCCGCGUGUGUGAAGAAGGCCUUCGGGUUGUAAAGCACUUUCAGUCGUGAGGAAGGUAGUGUAGUUAAUAGCUGCAUUACUUGACGUUAGCGACAGAAGAAGCACCGGCUAACUCCGUGCCAGCAGCCGCGGUAAUACGGAGGGUGCGAGCGUUAAUCGGAAUUACUGGGCGUAAAGCGCAUGCAGGUGGUUUGUUAAGUCAGAUGUGAAAGCCCGGGGCUCAACCUCGGAAUAGCAUUUGAAACUGGCAGACUAGAGUACUGUAGAGGGGGGUAGAAUUUCAGGUGUAGCGGUGAAAUGCGUAGAGAUCUGAAGGAAUACCGGUGGCGAAGGCGGCCCCCUGGACAGAUACUGACACUCAGAUGCGAAAGCGUGGGGAGCAAACAGGAUUAGAUACUCUGGUAGUCCACGCCGUAAACGAUGUCUACUUGGAGGUUGUGGCCCUGAGCCGUGGCUUUCGGAGCUAACG